AGUAAUUGGUCAGGAGAGAUUACGUUUAGAGCAUGUUUUAGCUCAUAGGGUGUGGAGAGUAUUUUUUUGGGGACCUAUACCUUUUGCAUAAUGGCUUUACAAAAAUUGGUAAGUAUAUAUAGUCCCGAAAUUUACUUGAUCUAAGAGUCUCACACUUUUAGCAGCUAAACUUAAGUGUAGCAUAACUUAGGGUCAAGAUUCUCUUAGGGGUGAUAUGCCAAGCCAGUUAAAAGGUAUCUGGGUGUAGGGGAAGGAUAUAAAGUAUACACAGCACAUAGCAUAAACUAUAAGGUUUAUGCCACACAAUAUUAUCAAUUAAUUAUAUUAGAAUUAUUUAAUAAUUAAUAAUUAAUCAGUCCACUCUUAUAGAACUUAGUUUUAUGCGUAUUUGAAUUAAUACCCUAAGCUUUAGUGAAAUUUUUCACUUAAUCUGUAAUGUAUAGAGUCGUGGGGAUUCUGACGCUUUAUGAUGGAACUUUUUAAACCUGUUUCUCUUGUCUGUUUACCAAAAACAUAGCUUAAAGAGUGCGUAACACAGAUUUUAAGUAACCCCUGCCCGGUGAGUUAUAGAAACUUUAACGGCCGCAGUACCUUGACUGUGCAAAGGUAGCAUAAUAAUUUGUCCUCUAAUUAAGGUCUGGAAUGAAGGGGGACACAGGGGAGAGCUGUCUCCAAUAAGGUUAAUUUAACUUUCUUAUCAGGUGAAAAUUCCUGAGCCUCCGAUGAAAGACGAGAAGACCCUUAGAGUUUUUAUUAUAACUUGAUAUAUUAAGAUUCUUGUUCUGUUUUUGUUGGGGCGACAGGGUUACAAUAGAUAACUUACCCUACCAUAUUUUUAUAUGGCGAUCAUUACCCUUUUAAUCAGGCCACCUGAGGGAUAACAGCGUAAUCUUUUUUCUUUGGUUUGCGACCUCGAUGUUGGACUAGGGGCCUACUGGUUAGUUACCAUUAUGGGCGGUUCAUGUUGGACUAGGGGCCUACUGGUUAGUCGCCCGCAGGGGGCGGUUCCGGCUAAGCUUGCCUCAUCCUAUAUGAUCUGAGUUCAGACCGGCGCAAGCCAGGUCAGUUUCUAUCUUCCAUUUUGAUUUUAAUUAGUACGAAAGGAUCAUUAAAUUAGACUAUUCAGUCUACAAUA
rnacentral:rRNA from 1 species